rnacentral:lncRNA from 1 species
UGCAUUUUAACUUUAACAUUGAUUGUUAAAGGCACUUUGUAAAUUGAAUAUAUGCCAGAAUUAUUAAUUUCAACUUUUUCAUAAAACUACCCAUUCAUUUAUUUCGAUAGUGCCUUCAUUGGGUGUCUAGUGUAUGUAUGUUGUCGAAUAUCAAAAUGAUUUCAUAUUGUAGAACUUAAAUGUCAGUAUGUACUUAAAAAUGUAUAGUGGGAAGUGAGUUAGGGCUAUUCCAGAAAAAAAUGUAUGGGGGGGGGGGGG